rnacentral:rRNA from 1 species
UCCGUAGGGUGCGAGCGUUAAUCGGAAUUACUGGGCGUAAAGCGUGCGCAGGCGGUUCGUUGUGUCGGUGGUGAAAUCCCCGGGCUUAACCUGGGAAUGGCCAUGGAAACUGGCGAACUGGAGUGCGGCAGAGGGGGGUGGAAUUCCGCGUGUAGCAGUGAAAUGCGUAGAGAUGCGGAGGAACACCGAUGGCGAAGGCAGCCCCCUGGGCUAGCACUGACGCUCAGGCACGAAAGCGUGGGGAGCAAACAGG